UCUGUUUUAUAUGCAAGCACAGCAUAAAGAGGAGGCCAGGAAGGGGACACAGACAGACAGACAGACAGACAGAGAGAGACGCAGAGGUGCAGAGCUGGGGGGAGACAUGCAGAGGCAGCCGGAUCUGACGUGCUGCUCGAGGAUACACCAGUGGCUGGAAGGGAGGGAGAUGGAGGCGCAGAGCUGCCAGCGACAAGGGAUGCGGAUGUGCCGGCGGCUGGAAGGGAGGGAGGCGGAGACACAGAGCUGCUGGCGCCCAAGGAUGCGCUGGCUGAGAAACACCCCGAAGGCCGGCUGCCAUGGACAUGCCACCGAGUGCCCAGGACACAUGCCUGGCCUAUUUAAAUUUGCUCCCACAGGAAGUGUUGAACCCAGAACCUGGGGUGCUACUUGAGCUCUGAUAACCAGUCAGGUAGAAGAAAUAAGAGGUGCUCACAGAUGCCCAAUGUAACCGCAAGGAAGAUGGCGAGAUCACAAGAACUGGCAGAAAUCAUGAAGGCAAGAAGCAACAGCAAUUGCCUGCAUAGGCAAAUAGGAAACAAAAUUAGUCCCUGAAAGAACUAAUAGAAUUUACAUCCAUCAAAUUAAAUAAGUCAUCAAUGAUCAGUCUCAAGAAUCAUGAUUUAUGAGUUGAUAACACAAACCAAUAUGAUUAUGUGAGUCUGUUCAGCAUUAAACAAUAAAGGUAAAUCUAUCAAACAUAUAAUACUUGAUUUUAGGUUGGUAGAUCUGCAGUGUAAGAAUUGGAAUCGAGUGCAUAGUUCCAUUCCAAUGCAGGGCAAGGAGGUCAUGAAUGCAGGUAAUAUGGAAAUUCAUGAUGAUGGAUUGAUGGUUCAGAAUACAAUGAUUUACCUGUAAUGUCUUUCCAAGACCCAUUUCAUCUGCAAUUAGGGCUCUGCCACCAUGCUGUAAAACAAACCUACAAGCAUGCAAAACAUACAGUUAUUUAUGGAUCUACAUCUAAAUUCAUAAGCAAAUUCAAAGCACAUACUUAGGCUCCUGGCUUAUGGUUACCGUACUACAAAGCUCAAGAUAUGGUCUCUAAUAUGGUGAGUAGUUGGGUAGCGAUCCAAACAAGCAAGGAUAGCACAAUGUUCAUUUGCUUAUAGUAUGAGUACAGGUCAGCAAGUCACUCCUUAAGUACAGUACAGAAAUGUAAUGUGAUAAACAUAAGUUGAACAGAAAUGUAUUUUACAGGAUAUUUGACCAACCGUGUUCUAACUUUUCAAUGAAAAAUUAUCUCAGCAUCAUUAAACUCAAAAUUCUGCAUAACAUGCCAAUCUUGGAAUCAAUUUUUCACCAUCAUGCACUAAAUAGAUUUACAGAAUGUUGAAUCACUGCACCUGAUGCCUUCUCGCUGAAAUGGCAUAAACUUCGACUCAACAUCAGUGGGAAUCCUGUCAUACAAAUCUUCCCCGAGAAAAAUGAGGUCAGCAGCUUGCAAAACAUCACAUCUAAAAUUCAAAAGUAAAAAAAAAUAUACUAUUCCAAAUUAAUCAUUUUGAUUUACAUUCUGCAGCAUGCAGCAUAUUUGAAUUUUCAAUAUUUUCAUUGUAUAUUUCAAGCAGAUACUAAAGAAAGCACCGUUUAUAUCUGAAAACACCUUGGUAACAAGUAGGUGUGCAAAAUUAUCUAUUAUAUCCAGUUACUAAACAUCAGGUGAACAUAGAUUCUAUAAGCGCAACAUGGUAAAUUUAGAUACCUCGAAGAUCUUUGGUGCUUGAAGCUGCAAGUAAAGCACGCUGAACUAGCGGAUCCAAUUUGUGAACCUGCUAGGGAAGUACACUGCGUGACCAAAAUGAAUAUAUGCUCAAAAGUCAAAAUUUCUCUAUGCAGGACAUAAAAUUCUAGAUAAGUUAUGUUUGAAGUCUUGAAAAAAACUUCCUAUGAUAUGAGGCGGCAAUGCGGCAUAAUGAAGCUUAUACUUUGUGUCUCUUGAGUUUUUGUUGCAGGGUGAAAACAAAAGCUUUAACCUCCACACAAAAUAAAAAAAAAGAGAAAUCUAUUUCCUCUUCAUGCGUCCAUGCUCAUAUAUUUUAAGUGUUACAUUGAACUUGUUUUGAGUUCAACAAGCUAAAUGAUGCAGAAUUGACUACUUUAGGAAGUAGGAACAUCAUAUAGGUUUAAUCAACUAAGCAAGAAAGGUAAUAAACUAAAAUGAAUAAAUUAUCAAAAGAAUGUUACUGCAAUAAGCAACGUCUUUUUUUAUUACAGAUGAUACCUCCACAGCUAAUCCUGGUACUGAACAAAGAACCUCCUCUGCUGUUGAUAAAGAUGACGGAGGGAAUAUCCAUACCCUAAGGUUUUGGAUUAAAUAAAAACAAUCAGAAUAAACAUUGAAUUUUUCACAGGACCAACUUUUCCAGAUCAUAGAAAAUAUCUGAUGAACCUGGAAAUAAAACGAGUGAGAAAAGCAUACCUUUCUUUCACAUUCCAGCUGGCUUUCGGGAUCUUGCGAAAUGCAUCCACAAGUAACUAAAAAAAUAAACAGAAGCAAACAAAUUAUAGUUUCAUAUAAUUCUGAGACAGCUGAUUCAAGAAUUGUUGGGCAGAAUGUACCUGAUUGUAUUGGAACUUCGCUGCAAUCACACCGCUAGAAUGGAGGAAAAGAUUUACAGAUAUCUUAGGUGAACAUCCCUGACUAUUAUUCACUUGAAUGACAAGUGAAAAAAAGAGGGGGAUAGACUUAAGCAACAGUUCAUAUAGAACAAACAGGAAAUAUCAAUUAUGUUGUGUACCUGCAUUUCUCAAUGUGUUUGAGUCACAUGGCUGCGAAGGAGAAACCGCUUCUACCUGAGAAAUAGUUUAAGGAGUAUAUGCGAAGGAGAAAUAGUUCAAAGUAAAUCUGUAGGUUAAGUUGGUCAGCAGUGUUUUCUAUGAAGGAACACCGAAUCAACUAUUUUUGUGCAAAAGCUUGCUAAAGAGGUCUAGAAACGAGAGGGAAAGGUCGAUAGAGAUCCAAAUGAGUAGAUCAAUUUUUAGUACGCAUGAUGAGACACGUGGUAUGAUUAAGGGUGGUAAAGAACCUCAAAAUUUAACCUAGAUAAUCUAAGGGACGGGUUUUUAUCUUGUACAAUUUUGAGUUAAAAAUAUAAUCAUGUUGGAUUGUAAAGAGAUCACUAGAGCCAUGUUGGAUUAUAAUAAAAAAGAAAGAAAAAAAACUAGAAGAAAAAAAAAGAAGAGAGAGAGGGGGCGGGUGACGGCUUAUACUAGAUUUCCGUUGCCCUCUUCAGCAUGUCUAAUAAUCAAAUAAACAACUUAAUCAGGGUAUGAUGGUUCUAUUUAGCCGAGCAAAAUGGAAAGGUUAUUUCUGAAUUAUACAUCAGGAGUCUUUGUGUCAUAGGGCGAGUGGCCGAGUGGGCAAGCGCUAUGGGUCAUGCGCUGCAAUUGAACUUCCAGGCAUGGUAAAUUGGUAAUAUCCAACUGCAGACAAAGUUGGCACCUUGAUCAUAAUAUGAAGAGUACUGCAAUCUCAUCUUGAUGUCUUAAGUAUUUGAACCGACAGCGGUGGAAAACAUGGGAGAAGAGCAACUGCCAUGAACAAAACAUUCCGUUCUGGUACUUCACGUUUAGUGAGGGGGCACAUCGAAGCCAAGGUAAACUCCAUCCAAAUUGUAGUUGAAAGGUAAACAAGGUAAGCAAUACUGAAAUGAAAACAGCAUCCACUGAUCGUUCAAUAUUUCCAAGUAGGAAGAGCAGUCGAUCCAUACAAUUGCCCUAUGUGAAUAAAGCAACCAAGAUCCAGACUUCCAGAGCUAAGGAGCAAAUGGAGUGUGCAUAUAUCUGGGCCCUUGUUUUACUUUUCCUCUUUUUUCUCCCCUUCUCCCUUCCAAUGUCUCUCGAGACAACAGAGCCAAGGGGAGGGAAGACAGAUACUAGAAGGCAUAGAACAAACCAUGAGGACCUGACAACUCAACAACAAUUGCAGUGGCUGCGACGAACAUCAGAGAGCUGGUGAUUUGGGCUCUCUUGUGUAUACCGGCAUCA